rnacentral:rRNA from 1 species
AGAGUUUGAUCCUGGCUCAGGACGAACGCUGGCGGCGUGCUUAACACAUGCAAGUCGAACGGAAAGGCCCUUCGGGGUACUCGAGUGGCGAACGGGUGAGUAACACGUGGGUGAUCUGCCCUGCACUUUGGGAUAAGCCUGGGAAACUGGGUCUAAUACCGAAUAUGACCAUGCACUUCCUGGUGUGUGGUGGAAAGCUUUUGCGGUGUGGGAUGGGCCCGCGGCCUAUCAGCUUGUUGGUGGGGUAAUGGCCUACCAAGGCGACGACGGGUAGCCGGCCUGAGAGGGUGACCGGCCACACUGGGAUUGAGAUACGGCCCAGACUCCUACGGGAGGCAGCAGUGGGGAAUAUUGCACAAUGGGCGCAAGCCUGAUGCAGCGACGCCGCGUGAGGGAUGACGGCCUUCGGGUUGUAAACCUCUUUCAGCACAGACGAAGCGCAAGUGACGGUAUGUGCAGAAGAAGGACCGGCCAACUACGUGCCAGCAGCCGCGGUAAUACGUAGGGUCCGAGCGUUGUCCGGAAUUACUGGGCGUAAAGAGCUCGUAGGUGGUUUGUCGCGUUGUUCGUGAAAACUCACAGCUUAACUGUGGGCGUGCGGGCGAUACGGGCAGACUUGAGUACUGCAGGGGAGACUGGAAUUCCUGGUGUAGCGGUGAAAUGCGUAGA